AGUAAUCAAGAAAUAAAAGUUUCUAAAAUGAUAAUACAGAGUUGUUAAUUUAGAAAGAAAAACUUGAAAAAGACGGGAUUUUGUACAUUAAUAAUACACUGUCACAUUAAGACCAGUAGAUUGACUCAUAAGACGUCGUUCGCUUCACAACUCUCAGAUCGAAAUAUCUAAAAACUUUAUAGAUAAAUCUCAACCGUCCAAAGUGCCAUGCCAUUAAGUUCCUCUAUCACUUUAGAUAUUUGCUUUUUUUUCCUCUGUAUCAGAAACUACGUCGUUUUCAACAAUCGUAAGUGACUUCUGAUACGUAUUGCAUAAACUCAGCAUCGUUCUCAAUCCCAGUCAUAGUCUCCGGCGCCAGAACUACUUCCAGAUCCACGCUUCCGUUUCCUUCUCUACCGGGAAACGCCGAGAUCUUCCCGUCGAAUUUAUUCGCUCCGCCGCUUCUCACAGCUAACGGUUUUCCCCAUCCGAAAUCAUUGUCGUACAUUGGGAAUCUCGGCGAGCUCCCCAUCGUGAUCGAAGCUCCAUCUGGAUUUCCGAGAGGAAACAGCCUCGGAUCGCUUUCCCAAGCGGCGAUUCCACGGCGGACCGUCGCGUCGUCGUGCGCCACCACGUUCCUGUGUAACUGUUCGGCGGACCACCUGAGAUCUUUGCUUAGCAGAUCUCCCGCAGACGCCAACGUCGGUAUGCUCUGUAUCGCGUUUCCGAAGUAGUACGGAUCCAUCUUCGGCUCAAGCCGGUGCCGGCAAUUAACCGCCAUUCGAAACGUCGUCGUCUUGCUCGGAUCGAGAUUCCUCGCUCGUGUAACGGAUCGCCAUAGCUGAGCGCUGAGAGAUUGGAACGAUGAAAUCUCAGCCGUCCGAUCAUAACUCUUCUUAUUAUUCAAAAAACUAUCCAAAACGUUUGGUAAUCGCCUCUCUGCUGAAAUGAAAAAUUCUCUCCCGUAGAGGUUGGUCGGCGUCGAAAGUGACACGUGGACCACCGGGAGGGACUGGAAGAACGACCGGAGAAUCGAAGACGGUGUGGCGGGAGAAAUCUGGAAGGUGUUUGAUCUUACAAGCACCGCUAGUGACGUCAGCAAAGGUGUUGAAGAAGUGCCAGAAGGAAGUUCCGUCAGUAACGGAAUGAUUCACGGUACAUCCGAUGAAGACACCGUCGUGGAGCUCCGUCACUUGAACGGCGGCGAGAGGCUUAUGAUGACCGUUGUAACUAACGAGACGCUCGAAGACGAAAAACUCACGGAAAAGCAGAGGAACGUCUUCACCUGGUAAGAGAACAUCAGAGAGUUUGACGUGUUUAGCGGAAGCGGCGACGAAAUCAACUCCGGCGUCGUUGCAGACAAUGGAAAUGUGACCGGCGGGAGUGGUGGAGAAACGGCCGGCUAAAGCAGGGAAGAGGGAAAGAGUGGAGGAGAGAGAACGGCGGAGAGAGGAGACAAGGUCGUCGAAGGAGAAGGAAGGAGGAGGGCUGGUGAGGAGGACGCCUUUUUGAAUGUAAUGACAUGAGAGCAUAGGGAGGUCGGAGACGGAGAGACGGAGAUCGGAGACGGUGGACUUCUUCUCCGGAUAGACGAUACAUUUUGAAAUUUCAGUUACCGAACAAGAAGGCAUUUUAUUUGGACAAAAAUGUUUUAAAGAGGAUAUGGAUUUUGGGAGUUAUGGGUUUAACUUGCCCGUAUUGGUGAUGAGUAGGAGUUAU
rnacentral:lncRNA from 1 species